GAUGAACGCUGGCGGCGUGCCUAAUACAUGCAAGUCGAGCGAACGGACGAGAAGCUUGCUUCUCUGAUGUUAGCGGCGGACGGGUGAGUAACACGUGGAUAACCUACCUAUAAGACUGGGAUAACUUCGGGAAACCGGAGCUAAUACCGGAUAAUAUUUUGAACCGCAUGGUUCAAAAGUGAAAGACGGUCUUGCUGUCACUUAUAGAUGGAUUCGCGCUGCAUUAGCUAGUUGGUAAGGUAACGGCUUACCAAGGCAACGAUGCAUAGCCGACCUGAGAGGGUGAUCGGCCACACUGGAACUGAGACACGGUCCAGACUCCUACGGGAGGCAGCAGUAGGGAAUCUUCCGCAAUGGGCGAAAGCCUGACGGAGCAACGCCGCGUGAGUGAUGAAGGUCUUCGGAUCGUAAAACUCUGUUAUUAGGGAAGAACAUAUGUGUAAGUAACUGUGCACAUCUUGACGGUACCUAAUCAGAAAGCCACGGCUAACUACGUG
rnacentral:rRNA from 1 species